AAGAGGAGGAAACAAAAUGAACGAAGUUCAUUUUCUAUAAAUGUUUCCGACGAAUAGCCGCCGACCGAAGGGAGGGGGCAAUACAUAUU
rfam:Eubacterium sp. CAG:156 genomic scaffold, scf164